UUCUUGGAUUCGAAACAGAGAAGAGAAGGGAGAGUGAGAUCAGAGAGAGAGAGAGAGAGAGAAAAGAUGAGAUCGGUAGCGGCCGAUCGUAGUGGCCGUGGCCGACCGGUGGUGUAGCUUGAAACAGCGGCUGUGGAUCGGCCAUGGUAGCGAUGGUAUGAAGCGAUGGAGGCUGGGCGAUGAAACGACGAAGGCCGACGGAGCUAGCACACUGGGAUGCGUAGAGGCGACCGGCGGGGGCUUGACGAGCAGCUACUGGAGGCCGUUUGGCCGACCGAUGACGCUGGAUUGCAGCACAGUGGGUGCAGUGGCAAUGGCCGAAGCUGAGGCCAGCAACGAUCGACGGACCAGAAGCGGCGGUGCGGUGGGCUGCGAUGGCCGGCAACGAGGUUGGUCGACGCAGCUGGUCUGGUGGCUCGCGGUGAGGCGGCCAGAGGCCAGGCAGCGGCGGUGCUGCUGUGCGCGCAAGGGGCAGUCGCGAGGAAGAAGGAGGAGGAGGAGUAUGCGCGAGGGAGAAGGAAGAAAUGAAAAAGAAGAGGAAGAAAAAAAAUAAAAGAAAAAGAAAAUAAGAAAUUUGGAAAAAGGAGAAAAAUAAGGGGAAAAUAACUAGAAAAUUUCAAAAAAAUUGUGGAAAAGUCUGAAAAUUAUUUUGGGGCUUGAGGAGUGUGCCAGGAGCUCGAAAUGGGAUUUUGAGCCCAAUGUGGCAUCCCAUGAGGCGACGCUAGCGUGGGUGUUUGACUGAUUUUCUCCUCAAGAUUUGAUGAGGAUCGACCGAGGAGGCGGUGAUCCUAGAAGAGUUCGAGGCUCGGGUUGGAGUUUGUGCCGAGGCAGAGAUGAAGCUUCGAGCCAGAUAAGGGACGGCCCUAAUGGUGGCGGCCAUGCAAAUAUUUGAUGUUGCAAGUCCAGAUGCAAACAGAGAUUAUAUCGGGAGGUUGAAGUGGCGACUAGCGUUGUUGUCGCAUUGUAAAUUGUAUUAUCUCCUGUAUGUAUUCAUGUGGUGAUAUGUAUAUAUAUAUCAUUGUGGGUGAAUGUGUAUGUUGUUGGGUGCUGGAUGGUAUCCAGUUUGUUGUAAUCGGUAUAAUGCAAUAUUGAUUGUGUAGACUUCAGGUUGACAGUGGCUUGUUUGGUGGAGCCAAAUUGAGGAUCAGGUAAAGGAUCAAAGAGGUACUUCCCAUAAAUCCUAGUACUUAGUAGAUAUUUAAUGUACUAGUUUUGUGCUUGGGUCACCAUUGGCUUGUUGUGAAGCGAGUUGAAAAAAGGUGAAGCUCACUCGGGUUUCGGGUCCCGUCCGUUGUGCUUCCUUUUAUGGUUUGGGACCGACUCCUCGAGUGGAGCGAAGGGAAGGACAAAGCCUAGUCCUCAUCUAGGACGUUUCCUGAUGAAACAUAGUCCAUCUCUUCAUUAGUUUGGUGUUGUGUGUGAGUAAUCCGGUCGAUUAUUCACCGAUAGCGCCCGUAGGUGGGAGCGGGCCGUUACAUAAUGCUAAUAUGAUAGUUUCGUUUUCGAAGCUCUUGCUUAGUCUUCAAUGUGGAGAUUCUUCUAGCUCGACUAAGUAACUUGUUAGGGCUCUUUGCUUUUUGUGUCCCUUUUUUUUUGAGUUAAGGUUUGCGCUCUAAUCUUUUGGGAGGACUUCACCUUGUUAAAGGAUUCUUGCACUUUAUUGGGUCGUUGAUCAUCUAUAUGUGUUUAGGGCAAGUCACAAAUGACACUUUUGACAUCUUAGCGAGUCUUUAUUUUCAUUCGCAUGUGCCUAGGGCAAGUCUUUAGUUUGUAUGUGACCCCCUAAACAUCUUAACGAUUCUUUAUUAUCCUAAAUCAUUCUCCCACUUUUAUCCUUUUUGAUUUUGGGUUAUCCUAGUUCUUUUUCACG